rnacentral:rRNA from 1 species
GACGAACGCUGGCGGCGCGCCUAACACAUGCAAGUCGAACGAGCGAGAGAGAGCUUGCUUUCUCGAGCGAGUGGCGAACGGGUGAGUAACGCGUGAGGAACCUGCCUCAAAGAGGGGGACAACAGUUGGAAACGACUGCUAAUACCGCAUAAGCCCACAGCUCGGCAUCGAGCAGAGGGAAAAGGAGCAAUCCGCUUUGAGAUGGCCUCGCGUCCGAUUAGCUAGUUGGUGAGGUAACGGCCCACCAAGGCGACGAUCGGUAGCCGGACUGAGAGGUUGAACGGCCACAUUGGGACUGAGACACGGCCCAGACUCCUACGGGAGGCAGCAGUGGGGAAUAUUGCACAAUGGGGGAAACCCUGAUGCAGCGACGCCGCGUGGAGGAAGAAGGUCUUCGGAUUGUAAACUCCUGUUGUUGAGGAAGAUAAUGACGGUACU